rnacentral:rRNA from 1 species
UGGGGAAUUUUGGACAAUGGGGGAAACCCUGAUCCAGCCAUCCCGCGUGUGCGAUGAAGGCCUUCGGGUUGUAAAGCACUUUUGGCAGGAAAGAAACGUCAUGGGUUAAUACCCCGUGAAAAUGACGGUACCUGCAGAAUAAGCACCGGCUAACUACGUGCCAGCAGCCGCGGUAAUACGUAGGGUGCAAGCGUUCAUCGGAAUUACUGGGCGUAAUGCGUGCGCAGGCGGUUCGGAAUGAAAGAUGUGAAAUCCCAGAGCUCAACUUUGGAACUGCAUUUUUAACUACCGGGCUAGAGUAUGUCAGAGGGAGGUGGAAUUCCGCGUGUAGCAGUGAAAUGCGUAGAUAUGCGGAGGAACACCGAUGGCGAAGGCAGCCUCCUGGGAUAACACUGACGCUCAUGCACGAAAGCGUGGGGAGCAAACAGG